rnacentral:misc_RNA from 1 species
GAUGAAGAACGCAGCGAAACGCGAUAAGUAAUGUGAAUUGCAGAAUUUAGUGAAUCAUCGAAUCUUUGAACGCACAUUGCGCCCGCCAGUAUUCUGGCGGGCAUGCCUGUUCGAGCGUCAUUUCAACCCUCAAGCCCAGCUUGGUGUUGGGGAUCGGCACAGGCGCCCUCGGGCGCCCGCCGUCCCCUAAAUCUAGUGGCGGUCCCGCUGCAGCCUCCUCUGCGUAGUAGUUUUCUCCUCGCAAGGGCAGCUCGGUGGCGACCUCGCCGUAAAACCCCCAACUUCUGAAAGGUUGACCUCGAAUCAGGUAGGAAUACCCGCUGAACUUAAGCAUAUCAAUAAGCGGAGGA